AGCUUUGCACAGUAGCAGCAUCAUAGCCAAUGAGGUUUAUCCAUGGUGCAGUUAUUGCUAAUUGAACACUUUUCCCAAUACCCUGCCAUGAUGAUUUGAAAUAUAGUCAGCACUGGCAAUUUUUGACAGUCUCUGUGGAAA